UAAAGUGUUCAGCUGUUCAAUUUUAAGAACCUUCUUCAAUUGAUCUGCACUAAAAAAAAACUAAUGUAAACGAUAAAUAUCUAUAAUAAACAACCUUGAUAUAACAAUAUUAAACAGAACUUUCAAUAUUUUAAAUAAUCAUACAGUGCCUAAGUCGCAAAUUCACUACUAACCGUGUAUUGAAAUAAGCCCCGCCUCCCUACUAACCUAAUAUUGAAUAUACACGGUCUCCACGAGGUCGCUUUUAACCAAUCAUAUUCCUAGAAAUGUAUAGGA
rnacentral:lncRNA from 1 species